AUGGAGAUGGUAGAGGGUAGGAAAAUUGGGCGUGCCGAGCUUUACAUGGUUACGCAUACGAAAAACAAUGGAUAUCCAGUCAACCAACAAAGCGGAGUAAAAAUGGAUGACAUUAAAAAAAGGAUUCGGGAAGAUCCUUCUUUGAUUGGUGAGGAGGCCUGUGAUGGUGAUUUUAUUCAUCAAUUUUCCCAAAAGAAAAGAAAGGAAGGCCAAGUGGCCUUGAUCUAUUAG
rnacentral:rRNA from 1 species